ACCGCACAGCGUACCUGAGGAGGGACAUUACACAAAUAUGAAGGCGGGCUGGAACCUCUCGGGGUUACAGCCUUGCUGAAUUAUUCACCCUUGUCUUUUGCGUACUUCUUGUUUCCUUGGUGGGUUCGCCCACCACUAGGACAAACAUAAACCUUUUGUAAUUGCAAUCAGCGUCAGUAACAAAUUAAUAAUUACAACUUUCAACAACGGAUCUCUUGGUUCUGGCAUCGAUGAAGAACGCAGCGAAAUGCGAUAAGUAGUGUGAAUUGCAGAAUUCAGUGAAUCAUCGAAUCUUUGAACGCACAUUGCGCCCUUUGGUAUUCCAAAGGGCAUGCCUGUUCGAGCGUCAUUUGUACCCUCAAGCUUUGCUUGGUGUUGGGCGUCUUGUCUCUAGCUUUGCUGGAGACUCGCCUUAAAGUAAUUGGCAGCCGGCCUACUGGUUUCGGAGCGCAGCACAAGUCGCACUCUCUAUCAGCAAAGGUCUAGCAUCCAUUAAGCCUUUUUUUCAACUUUUGACCUCGGAUCAGGUAGGGAUACCCGCUGAACUUAAGCAUAUCAUAAAGCCGGGAGAAA
rnacentral:rRNA from 1 species